UACGAAGGGGGCUAGCGUUGUUCGGAAUUACUGGGCGUAAAGCGCGCGCAGGCGGUUUCUCAAGUCAGUGGUGAAAGCCCGGAGCUCAACUCCGGAACUGCCAUUGAAACUGUGAAACUUGAGGACGAGAGAGGUGAGUGGAAUUCCCAGUGUAGAGGUGAAAUUCGUAGAUAUUCGCAAGAACACCAGUGGCGAAGGCGGCUCACUGGCCCGAUACUGACGCUGGGGCACGAAAGCGUGGGGAGCAAACAGG
rnacentral:rRNA from 1 species